rnacentral:rRNA from 1 species
GAGUUUGAUCCUGGCUCAGAUUGAACGCUGGCGGCAUGCCUUACACAUGCAAGUCGAACGGUAACGGGUCCUUCGGGAUGCCGACGAGUGGCGAACGGGUGAGUAAUAUAUCGGAACGUGCCCAGUAGUGGGGAGUAACUGCUCGAAAGAGCAGCUAAUACCGCAUACGACCUGAGGGUGAAAGGGGGGGAGUCGCAAGACCUCUCGCUAUUGGAGCGGCCGAUAUCAGAUUAGCUAGUUGGUGGGGUAAAGGCCUACCAAGGCACGAUCUGUAGUUGGUCUGAGAGGACGACCAGCCACACUGGGACUGAGACACGGCCCAGACUCCUACGGGAGGCAGCAGUGGGGAAUUUUGGACAAUGGGCGCAAGCCUGAUCCAGC